AAAACAUGAGUACAAAUGAUUUACCAAAAAUACAUGACUCAAUAUACCGAAUCCUCAUUGUAGAUUAUCUUUGCCAGUCCUCGAUCGCUUGGAAUCCUCCAACCGACCACACCGCAAGUCCUUGCAGCCAAACACGCCUCGAUUCCACGAAACGCCCACCGAAUCCACGGUCUUCACGCGAGAUCCACACACUAACGCUCCAUCCGAAGCUCGUAGGGAUUUAACAAUUUGUG
rnacentral:lncRNA from 1 species